AACGUAGGGUCCGAGCGUUGUCCGGAAUUAUUGGGCGUAAAGGGCUUGUAGGCGGUCCGUCACGUCGGGUGUGAAAACUCAGGGCUCAACCCUGAGCGUGCUUCCGAUACGGGCGGACUAGAGGUAUGCAGGGGAGAACGGAAUUCCUGGUGUAGCGGUGGAAUGCGCAGAUAUCAGGAGGAACACCGGUGGCGAAGGCGGUUCUCUGGGCAUUACCUGACGCUGAGGAGCGAAAGCAUGGGGAGCGAACAGG
rnacentral:rRNA from 1 species